rnacentral:rRNA from 1 species
UACGUAGGGGGCAAGCGUUGUCCGGAUUUAUUGGGCGUAAAGAGCUCGUAGGUGGUUCGGUAAGUCGGAUGUGAAAUCUCCAGGCUCAACCUGGAGGGGUCAUUCGAUACUGCCGUGACUAGAGGUCGGUAGGGGAGUGUGGAAUUCCUGGUGGAGCGGUGAAAUGCGCAGAUAUCAGGAGGAACACCGGUGGCGAAGGCGGGUCUCUGGGCCGUAACUGACGCUGAGAAGCGAAAGCAUGGGUAGCAAACAGG